UUUUUGUAUGAAAAAAAAAUUUCACUAUUUGAAAAUUAUUUCUCUUCUGGAUUUUUUAAUUUUGGAUUGUGUUAUUUAUGUUUUUUUAUAUGAAAAAUACUUUCAAAUCAUAUAAUCCAUAAUUUUAGUUUUUUUUAAGAAAAUCUAGUGUGUAAUUUGGAUUUUUUUUUGGAUUGCACAUCCAUAAGUAAUUCUUUUACAGGGGUUUCUCCCUGCACCUCAAAACCUUCUCCUUUCUACACUUCCAUUUUUUUUGGUUAAUGACAAAAUUACCUUUCUAAUAAAGGUAGAAAUCUUUUUUUUUUCUCCUAUAAUUAACUCCACCCACCCACAACCACCCACUUUUAUUCAUUUUGUUACUCUAGCGGCCACAUCUCCUCUCCACCCUUUUUGCUCUCGACCCCUGCACUCCCGAAUUUCAUUUUGUUAUUCAUUUUGUUUAUGAGGAACACGAGGAUGUUUUUUAGCAGUAGAAUGAUGUUGUUGAGGACCAUGAGGAUGAUGUUGUUGAGGACCAUGAGGAUGAUGUUGUUGAGGACCAUGAGGAUGAUGUUGUUAAGGACCAUGAGGAUGAUGUUGAAGAACAACAUGAAGUAGGGUUGAAUUUAUGAGCACUUCUUGAGAUAUGAAUAAGGCAUCUGCUUCCUACUUAUGAUGAAGAUAGAUUUCGUGCCACAUGUUGGGUGAUAGGGAGGCCAAUUUCCAGCUUAUUUGAGGCCAAGACACAUUUGGAUGGACUGACAUAUGAUGGGAUGAUCUGGACCCCAUAUGAAUCAUAUCGAAUUAGUCGUCCACAUCUAACCUUUAGUAUGUUUUAUAGGUGAAUCAAAGUCGGUAUGAUUGUACACAAACAUCUACUUGAACGCGUGUUAAGGCAAUUCGCAUGAGUAGUUGAUUCUGCAAUCGCCAAACAUUGCUUAAGAAGUUGACAUAAUAACAAUUUAUGAUUGUUGGUUUCGUUUUA